CGGGGGCCCGCACAAGCGGUGGAGCAUGUGGUUUAAUUCGAUGCAACGCGAAGAACCUUACCUACUCUUGACAUCCACGGAACUUGCCAGAGAUGGCUUGGUGCCUUCGGGAACCGUGAGACAGGUGCUGCAUGGCUGUCGUCAGCUCGUGUUGUGAAAUGUUGGGUUAAGUCCCGCAACGAGCGCAACCCUUAUCCUUUGUUGCCAGCGGUCCGGCCGGGAACUCAAAGGAGACUGCCAGUGAUAAACUGGAGGAAGGUGGGGAUGACGUCAAGUCAUCAUGGCCCUUACGAGUAGGGCUACACACGUGCUACAAUGGCAUAUACAAAGAGAAGCGACCUCGCGAGAGCAAGCGGACCUCAUAAAGUAUGUCGUAGUCCGGAUUGGAGUCUGCAACUCGACUCCAUGAAGUCGGAAUCGCUAGUAAUCGUGGAUCAGAAUGCCACGGUGAAUACGUUCCCGGGCCUUGUACACACCGCCCGUCACACCAUGGGAGUGGGUUGCAAAAGAAGUAGGUAGCUUAACCUUCGGGAGGGCGCUUACCACUUUGUGAUUCAUGACUGGGGUGAAGUCGUAACAAGGUAACCGUAGGGGAACCUGCGGUUGGAUCACCUCCUUA
rnacentral:rRNA from 1 species